rnacentral:lncRNA from 10 species
GCCCGCUUCGGCGGCCACGCCCCCAGCGGGGAGCCGGUCCACGUGGGGCGGGACAGCCCCCUCCCUGCGGCCUCGCCCUGGAGUCUCGGCACCGUCUGGCCCCGCCGGCUGAUUACAGCCAGAGAUCGAGGGGGACCUCGCUGUCCCCCUAGAGGCCGUCAUGCGGGGUUACAGAGGCUGCGACCAAAGUCAUUCCUAGCUCCUCUCUCGGGGCUCCGGAAAGCCGUCCGCGCCUCCAGCCGCACUUUCAGCGCACGCAGGACCUGCCGCGCCCGGUGGCCACACCCGUCCCUCUGCCGGGUGACGCUGCGGGAGAUCUUGCGCCCUGGGGCUCCGGAUCCAGUUCUGGCACGUUGUUGCACCUGUGACUUGUCCUUGGCCUGGCACUGUCCCUCGCCUGGGGGAAGCGGGGGGGUGGGGGGGGGAUGCUCACGUGGUCGCUUUGCUCCCGCAGUCAUGCACUUGGGUGAAAACAGACUGAAGAGUCACGGGAACCAGCUUGUCUCCCCAGUUAUGGCGCAGAGCUGCAAGGAUGGCUGUGGGUCAUUAAUUUCUCCGUGGCUGACCUGUGUUUGUAACGCCGCAGCUGUUGCGAGGGGGAAGGACACUGCUUCGGAUUCAAAUUCUGACUCCUUGCUGCAGUGUGUCACCUUGAGCCAGUCCCAGAUCUCUGCGUUCUCACAAUUGUAAAAUGUUAACAGAGGCUGCCUACCUUGUGGCUGGAAUUAAAUGAAUUAACGUGUGUGAAUGUGACUAGAAUUCAGUACAUGUUCAGGAAAAGCUGAUUUCCGCUUUGCUGUUACCGUGAAUAUUACUGUUUUAGGGUGUAGAAAAGGGUGGAAGGGGAUGUUAUUGCAUCCUGGAAGCUUAUCCUUUUGAGGUAAAGAUUGAUUUCUGGUCCCCUGCGUGGUAUAUAGUGUAGUUUUGACAUUAUUUAGAUGUGUUAUGCACAUUUGGGUGUUGAUUAUAUGGCUUACGAUCAAGACUAACCAGUCAUGCCGUGGGAGAUUAAGGUCGUGGUCUCUUGUCAGGAUUGUAGUGAGAUUUAAAAAUUCCAGCCAGAAAUACCAGGCUUAGAAUGCUCUGAAGCCCUCCCCACAUUUUUGCCAUCUCUAGCAGGAGGGCACUGCAUAGCAGAAACAAAGACGUUGUAAAUUGUUGCUGCCUGAGUCAUUUAUAGAGGCUUAAACAACCUGAAUGUCCUCUGACCUACCUGUAACAUUUGAUGGAGUUGUAUGAGUAACUUACAAAGCUGUAGGUCCCAAGGUCGGUCUGAAAAAGAAAGUUCAUAUCCGGGAGCACUGACCCCGUAGUGUAAUCCUGGCACCUUAAAACGUACUGCUCCCUCCACCUUCACUUCAAGGUUAUGAAAACAUUGAGUAAAAGGGAUGAUCUGUUCAAAGUCCUUAGUGUUCUGCCAAUUUAAAACAGUAAUUUUCAAAGCAGUUAUUUGCAAGGAAAUUGCCUAGAACUUCUCCCAGUGUGCGGUUGUUUUGUGUGUUUGUGUGUGUGUUUUGUUUGUUUGUUUUCAGUCUGUCCACAGGCGUACUUUUAUAGGUCUGUGAUAGUAGGUAGCUCUUCAAGUUGGCAAACACCUGCUGGACAACCCCUGAGAGAUUCAUCUGAGUGAGAGAGCACUCUCCAGCCCCAUCGGAGUGGGUUUGCAGGGAAAUCAUAAGGAAGAAAUCCUUAUCUUUCCAACACUGAGAUGCUUCUGCCGAAGAGUAGAAUGGGAGUGAGGGGACACGCAAAACGGGCUGCUGCCGGAGGAAGAGGAACAGUGUUGUGGCUCAUGCCAUAUGAAUGGGCUCACUGGCCUGGCCCAGACCCUGACUGCCCACAGGAUCUUUGUUCAGAGAGGCACAGUCAAGGAAAUGCAUUUGAGGUCACUGUUCGAUGUACUUGAAGUACUCAUCCUGGAAAUAGUCUACUUGGAGUAGAGGGAGCUCAAGUGGGCAUGGGAACGUUGUGGAACCAGACCAGGAACAAAGGCGGCUUCAGAGGCCGUCUGUGAGGACUUGCAUGGGAGCAGGGGCGAGAACAUCCAGGGAAGAGAAGACAGAGAAACGGAGGCACAGAGAAGGAAGCGGCAGUUAAAGCUGCGAAGAACCUAACAAAUUUCAAGAUUGUAAGUGCCUUUUCCCAGGAUGCCAGCAAGUACUGAGCCUGUAUUUUGAGCUGCAUCAAACCCUGUUGGAAUAAAAAAGGACAUUUCUAGGAGAUCAGUCUUCGAGAUUGGCCCCAGUUUCCCCAGAGUAGGAAGAGGCAGGAAGCCAGAGCACAUGUUCUCUCCAGAAAUAAAGUUGUUGCAGUGGCCUAACCGUGUCUUAGAGUUACUGAAAACUCUGUUCUCUUGAGAUUUCUCAAGAAAGGAAACCUAUCUUGCAAGACAAAACCCACCUGUAGUCAAUUCCUACAGGAAAUAAAUUCAAAAUAAUGUUUCAGGCAAGGGC